UACGGAGGGUGCAAGCGUUGUUCGGAUUUACUGGGCGUAAAGCGCGUGCAGGCGGAUUGGCAAGUCAGAUGUGAAAUCUCGGGGCUCAACCCCGAAACUGCGUCUGAAACUGCUAGUCUAGAGUCUCACAGGGGGUAGGGGAAUUUCACGUGUAGGGGUAAAAUCCGUAGAGAUGUGAAGGAACACCCGUGGCGAAGGCGCCUACCUGGAUGAGCACUGACGCUGAGGCGCGAAAGCGUGGGGAGCAAACAGG
rnacentral:misc_RNA from 1 species